rnacentral:rRNA from 1 species
AUUGAACGCUGGCGGCAUGCCUUACACAUGCAAGUCGAACGGCAGCACGGGUGCUUGCACCUGGUGGCGAGUGGCGAACGGGUGAGUAAUACAUCGGAACGUACCUUAUCGUGGGGGAUAACGCAGCGAAAGCUGUGCUAAUACCGCAUACGCCCUGAGGGGGAAAGCGGGGGAUCGAAAGACCUCGCGCGAUUAGAGCGGCCGAUGACUGAUUAGCUUGUUGGUGGGGUAAAAGCCCACCAAGGCGACGAUCAGUAGCUGGUCUGAGAGGACGAUCAGCCACACUGGGACUGAGACACGGCCCAGACUCCUACGGGAGGCAGCAGUGGGGAAUUUUGGACAAUGGGGGCAACCCUGAUCCAGCAAUGCCGCGUGAGUGAAGAAGGCCUUCGGGUUGUAAAGCCCUUUUGUCAGGGAAGAAACACCGGCUCUAACACAGUCCGGGAAUGACGGUACCUGAAGAAUAAGCACCGGCUAACUACGUGCCAGCCGCCGCGGUAA